ensembl:snRNA U6 U6 spliceosomal RNA
AGGCUUGUCUCUGCAGCACACAGAGUAAAGUUAGAAAAAUACAGGGAAGGCUGGCAUGGCCCCUGUGCGAGGGUGGCCUGGGGUUUUGUGACAUGUUCCAUGUUGUU